AAAGAUUAAGCCAUGCAUGUCUAAGCACAAGCCUAAGAAUGGUAAAGCCGCGAAUGGCUCAUUACAACAGCCAUAGUUUACUGGAUCUUACUUUCCUACUUGGAUAACUGUGGUAAUUCUAGAGCUAAUACACGCAUGAAAGCUCUGACCGUUCGGGAGGAGCGCAUUUAUUAGAACAAAACCAAUCGGGCCUUCGGGCCCGCCAGUUGGUGAAUCUGAAUAACUUUGCAGAUCGCACGGUCUCGUACCGGCGACGUAUCUUUCAAAUGUCUGCCUUAUCAACUUUAGAUGGUAGUUUACACGCCUACCAUGGUUGUAACGGGUAACGGAGAAUAAGGGUUCGACUCCGGAGAGGGAGCCUGAGAAAUGGCUACCACAUCCAAGGAAGGCAGCAGGCACGCAAAUUACCCACUCCCGGCACGGGGAGGUAGUGACGAAAAAUAACGAGGCGGUUCUCUACGAGGCCCGCCAUCGGAAUGGGUACAAUUUAAAUCCUUUAACGAGGAUCUAUUGGAGGGCAAGUCUGGUGCCAGCAGCCGCGGUAAUUCCAGCU
rnacentral:rRNA from 1 species